GUGGCCAGGGAGCUGCAGGCAAGGGACUAAGGGGAGGGGGGCUCAGUGCCAGCUGCUUAAAAAUGCCCCUGUGGCAGCGAGGGGCACCAGAGGCUGGGUCUAAUUAGUUGAGAAGCAGUGACACCCCCAACCACUCCCCAAACAGGCUGGCUCCCAUCUCCAGGCCCCAAGGAGCCACACCUGGACCAGACCCCAGGAAAGACAUGUGGUGGAAACCCUAGGGCCCUGGAUCCCAAGGAGAGCAAGGGCUGUAACAAGUGCACAGGCAAGGGCACUAGCUAGUGGGAGCCACCCCUGCUACGCUGAUGCUGGAGAAGCAAGAACUCUGGAGAAGCAGCCUCCUGGGACCAGAGGGGGGCCAGCAGCAGGCAGCUCGGCUACAGAACUGUGAGCCCACCCCACCUCCACCCCU
rnacentral:lncRNA from 1 species